ACUCCACGCAUGAUAUGUGAAGAAGUUUGGCCAAGAUCUCAACUCGAAGGCGGAGAUCCAAGAAUCGUCCGAGAACGGGACUAAUUUAAGGAAAUCAGUAUUUUUGGACACCUCACGGGCAAAGAAACGCUAG